rnacentral:lncRNA from 1 species
GCGAAAGGAAUGCAGAGCUGUGAUAGAGACCUCUGUGCCAGGUGCCAUGAGACAAGCUGCAAGCAACUGCUAGUUAUGAGAACCGUGCCUUGUUGUACUUAGCAUGUUAUUUGUACUGCUCUAUAUAAAUGGCUGUGUGCAGUUAUUAAAUGGCUUUGGCUACUAGUAAUCAUACUGGUGUGUUGCCUCAUCCAUGCUGCUCCUCGGCUGAAUAUUGCUCUCCAGGGAACCUUGGACAAGUUGCUUGGCGACACUAACAUGAAGGCUUGCUCCCGUUGGAUUGUAGAUCAGGUGAAGCUGCUGUAAGAGACUAUUCUUUUAUAUCAUUGACUCAAAGUUUGCUGAGGAACAAGUCCAGGCAAGUCCUGGGCAAAGGCAGAGAAAUCUUUUGUCUUGAGGACACUGAUGGACAGGUCCUGGCUAAGGAUUGUGAAAUCCUUUAAGGAGCACAGAUGGACAAGGCCAGGGGCAUCGAGAGAGAGAUAAGCUGCCGCUAAUGGCCGGUAAACGGUCUUUUUGUGUGGACUUAUCUCAAGGAAAAUGGCCAUCUCAGGAGGUAUGCACAGGACUCUUGCUCAAGCACCCAGGAAUGUCACGUAGGCAGCAGAAAAUGGAGGAUAAAAGAGGGUCCAAUAACCACAACGGUGGAAGCUGAUCCUUCACCACAACCCUCUCAUCGCAACGUGGAGACGGAUAUCUACGUGGAGACUGAUCUCUCAUCACGACAGACUUGAGGGGUUCUCUGCCAUCUGAUCUCUCAUCGCAACGUGGAGACGGAUCUCUACGUGGAGACUGAUCUCUCACCACGACACGAGCUUCCUGCCUUCAGAUCCUUCUCUACGGACCGUUUGCUGACGGACUUCCCUGGGCCUGCUACCUGAGACCUGCUGCUUCCUCCCUGACUUGCACCCUCUCGUUGCCCAAGACCGGCCUCGCUACUCCUGCCCUUCGGCCUCGGACCGUCGGAACGUCGUGCAACGGGACUGCUGCCGGAUCCUGGUGGUUUCAAAAUCAGUCAUCACCAGCACACUCCCCAGCCUGGUGCACUUGACAGACUACUACCUACUACUGCUCUUCCAGACAGAUGACAGAAGCUGCAUCCUGUAGUCUGAGGGGAAUGAAGACUGCAAGGCCUUGGGACGAUUGGUGAAAGACUCUGGGGUGCAAGCUAUUUUCUCUUCCCUCCUUCCAUUUUCAGAUUCUGAGUAAGGUCCACUUGUACCAAACAAAAUCUCAAGGACUGGAAGAUAUUCAGACUCUGCAAGCAAGGUGACAUUGGCUGAUUAAUUUAUUUGAUUUGUACCACAGUGGAAAAGUAGUGUAUCUCUUUCAUCUUGAUGAAAUAGGUGAAGAAAAUGCAUGUUUUAAGUGACUGUUUGGUACUCUCCUGUAAAAUGUGCACUGAGAUAAUUAAGAUACACAUGAAUAGAAUGCAAAUAUCAUACUAACUGUGGUGUCAGACAACCUAUCACCUAAGUCCUUAUCAGCACCUGAGGAAUGGAAAGCAGCAAAGACAAUCCACCCUUUGAGAAGGAAUCCAAGUUACUUUUCCUUCAUGAACCCACGCUGCCUGUGAGCAGUGAUGACAUUGUUUUUCAGCGUAAUUUUCUCCAUCAUUUUUGCAGGUGGGAUUGACAGGUCCAUAAUUACCAGGGUCUUCUCCAUUGCUCUUCUUGAAAAUAGAAGCAAUGUUUUCCAACUUUCACUCAAGUGGGACCUCUUCAGAUUUCUAAGACCACUGAAAAAUAAUGUUGGAUUCAAAUUUGUCUUACCAAGAAAUUUGUGUCAUUUCUAAUAGUUUCCUGUAAACCUUUUUCAGGUUCAGAAAGACAAGUAAUGUUAAAUCUAGGAAAAAAAAAAAAAAAAAAAAAAAAAAAGCAAUCAAAACUGAGAACAUAUCAGAAAACAUAGUACAUCACUGGUGUUCCCAUCUUGAAUACUGAAUGAAGUUCUGAUAAAAUCAACUUAAAGAGAAGUACAGAACUAGAAAACAUGUAGAAAAAGAAUGAGGAAGAUGAUCAGAAGUAAGGAACAGACUCCACCUGAAAGAAUAAACAGCCUAUCACUUUAGGUUUGUAAAUCUUGGAAGAGAUUCACUAGUUUGCAUGAUACAAAAAGUACUGUGUGCGCUUUUCAGUAUGCUUCCUUCUGCUCUUAACUCUUAAGUUAUUAUUACUAAGAGAUGGAAAGCACCACUGAAUAUUUCCACUGUUGCUCUCAACUAUAUCUACUGCACACUGAUGUUCACUGUAGAGUAGUUGUGUAAACUCUUCAAAAGAUUAUUCAUACUAAUAUUGCAAAAACAAGCACUUGCAAGUUAUGAUUGAGGAUGCCUUUACAAUAAAGUUUCUGCCCUCUUGUACAUGCAUACUCUAUACCUCUUUUUCCAAACACCUCCUAUCUCAUCAUUGCUUAGGGUGGCUGACACUCCCCAGGUGAGCUACUUAGUCAAUGUUAUGUUCUAUCACCAUAAUUCAGUGACGACACAGUGUAGUUCUUUUGCACUAUGCCAUCGAGCUCAAGCUGUGAACGCAGAAUUAUUCUUUUCCCAUGGGCAUUGUGACUUGAUUUUCCCCCAAGUUCUCUCUUUGACUUUUCAAUUAAGUCUGAAAAUUCUGUAAGGGAAUACAGUAGAUGAAGGGAGUUUUUACUU